GAAGAAGCCCCGGCUAAUUUCGUGCCAGCAGCCGCGGUAAUACGAGGGGGGCAAGCGUUGUUCGGAAUUAUUGGGCGUAAAGGGUGCGUAGGCGGUUUGUUAAGUCUUAUGUGAAAUCUUCGGGCUCAACCCGAAGUCUGCAUGGGAAACUGUCGGGCUUGAGUAUGGGAGAGGUGAGUGGAAUUUCCGGUGUAGCGGUGAAAUGCGUAGAUAUCGGAAGGAACACCUGUGGCGAAAGCGGCUCACUGGACCAUAACUGACGCUGAUGCACGAAAGCUAGGGGAGCAAACAGGAUUAGAUACCCUGGUAGUCCUAGCCCU
rnacentral:rRNA from 1 species